rnacentral:lncRNA from 1 species
AACGACAAGUCUUAACAACUCUAAUAGAUUCUUAAAUAAAUUAUAAUUAAAGAUUAGCAAAUAUAAUCAAACAUUAAUCAAAUUCAAUCAAAAUUGUAAAGGAAUUAUGUAAGAAACACAAAGUAUUCCUAAAGAUCUUUUAAAGAAAUCAUAAAGAAAUAAUAUAGGACUUCAAAAAUAUACUAAAAUAGAAAUCUUAAUAAAAUAUUAAAAUAAAAUAUAAAAACCUUAAUUAAAUCCUAACCAAAUCCUAAAUAAAUCCUAGUCAAAUUCUAAUCAAAUUCUAAUCAAAUCUUAAUCAAAUCUUAAUCAAAUUCCAAUAAAAUCUUCACCAAAUCUUAAUCAAAUCCUAAUCAAAUCCUAACCAAAUCCUAAUCAAAUCCUAAUCAAUCCUAAAUAAAUCCUAAUGAAAUUCUAACAAAAUCUUAAUUAAAUCCUAACCAAAUCCUAAUCAAUCCUAAAUAAAUUCUAGUCAAAUCUUAAACAAAUCCUAACCAAAUUCUAGUCAAACUUUAAUAAAAUUCUAAAUAAAUUCUAAUCAAAUCUUAAUCAAAUCCUAAAUAAAUUCUUAUUAAAUCCUAAAUAAAUCUUAGUCAAAUUCUAAACAUGUCCUAAUCAAAUCCUAAACAAAAUUUAACCAAAUUUUAAUUAAAUUCUAAUCAAAUCUUAAUCAAAUCCUAGUCAAAUACUAAAUAAAUCCUAAAUAAAUCCUAAUAAAAUCCUAACCAAAUCCUAAAUAAAUCCUAGUCAAAUUUUAAAUAAAUUUUAACCAAACUCUAAUCAAAUCUUAAAUAAAUCCCAGUCAAAUCAUAAAUAAAUCCUAAUCAAAUCCUAAAUAAACCUUACCCAAAUCCUAAUCAAAUCCUAAAUAUAUUCUAACCAAAUCCUAAAUAAUUCCAAGUAAUUCCUAUAGUAGGUUUAAACCUCAAUAACUAAUGAAUAAAUCAAAUUUUUCACUCCUCUUCACAAUUAAGUUGGCAACAAGUAAAAUUUUUUUGAAGAAGAUCAAACUCACCAAAAAGAAGAUCAAUCCUAAUAUUUUCUUGGGUAUUGGCUAGCUUCCUUCUUCAAUGUAAAUGUUAAAUUUCUAGCAUUAAUAUCUCCUUAUCAAACCAUUCUAUUGAUCUCAAAUAUCUUAUAUAUAUAGAAAAAUAAGUUUAUUACCCACAUAUAUAAUUUUUAUUCUAAUCCAAUCAAUAGAUUGCAAGAAAUCUUAGAAAUCUUCACUGGACCUAAAACUCUACUUCUCGAGACCCUGACCCACUUAAACCUCAAUAAUCCUUGAUCCAACCCUUCCAUCAAGCUUAAAC